GUGUAUCUGAUUCUUGGUUUGAAGGCUCUUUUAGGUUCAUAGGGUUUAGCCAUUCUAUGAGACUAUAACCUAAUUCUUUAGCCAAGACCUGAACUGCGGUACUCUUUCCACAACCAGAAGGACCACAGAUCAAAAGUAACCUCUAUGAUUUUGUUAGCCAAGAAAUAUUUUUGAGAGAAUUAGGGGAGAUUUAACAUACACUUUCUAAAGAAUCCGUUAACAUCCAUUGCUUAAUUGCACUUAUUUUGCUUUUAUGCACGGCAAGAUCAGCCGCUUUUUGAGGAAUGUAUUUUUCAAACCAAACUAUGCGCACCGUUAAUUUUUGAACCUUUUUAAAUUUUCUUACGUUGAAAUCGAUCUUCUUUUAAAUUAUUGAGAUGAACAAUUUUGUUUUCUUCAUCAGAAAAGGCUUCAAUAUCUUCUUCAUGAAUAUCGGUUAUCGAAGCAUUUUUGUCGCGUGAAGUUUUUGAAACUAGAGAAGGUUUUUCAAUCUUUCUUAUUUUCUUCUUUUUUAAUGAUCUCUUUGUAGAUUCAUGAAACGACAACUGUCGCCUCAUGCCAGAUAUAUGUUUUAUUCAACAAAGAAAUAGGAAGCUAAAGGUAGAGACUUUGUAAAUCAUUAGAUAA